rnacentral:rRNA from 1 species
UUUGAGCAAUAUAAGAGGUAAUGCCUGCCCAGUGACCAUGUGUUCAACGGCCGCGGUAUUCUGACCGCGCGAAGGUAGCGUAAUCACUUGUUUUUUAAUUAAAGACUAGUAUGAACGGCCGCACGAGGACUUAACUGUCUCCUUUGUCCAAUCAGUGAAACUGAUCUCCUCGUGCAGAAGCGAGGAUUUUCUCAUAAGACGAGAAGACCCUAUGGAGCUUUAAACUUUUAUCAAUUAUCUUCUUUAUCCCUCUAAGGAACUAACACCCAACUAAAUUUUCUUGAUAAAAGUUUUAGGUUGGGGCGACCAUGGAGAAAAAUAAAUCCUCCCUGAUGAUAACCUAACCAAGAGCUACAGCUCUAAGUAUUAAGACACUUAACUCCUAUUGACCCAUUUUAUGAUCAACGAACCA